UACGUUUUGAUAUGAAAAAGAAAAUGCUGUCAAUUAAAUAAUGUAUCAUAUUGAUAACAUUUUGUUUUCACUAAGUCGACAGUGACUUCUUAAAGAAUAUCAUUUUAAUUGCACAUUCAAUUUCUUGCUUUAAAAAACAACUUAUAAAAUGAUUGUUUUUAUCAUAUGAUAAUUUCAUUCAAUAUGGGCUUUAAUAUUUCAGAUUCAUGAGACAGUGGUCUGGUUUUCAUUUAAUGUGUUUCUAUAUUUUGUUGUUGUUGUUGUUGGUGGUUUUUUACUUCGACGUGUGGUAUGCUCUGCGGAUUGUCGAAAUCUGCCACAGCUUGCCCUCCUGUGGGAGUUUUUGUGCUAGAGAGUAGCCUAAUAAUCUCCAAUUAACAUUAAAAUAUUAAGACCAAGUCAAAAAUUUUAGAAACAGUCUAGCACUGGUACUUGGUACGAGUUAAUUAAUUACUAAAGAACAAUGUUCUUACAGCCCCGUAUGAAAAUGUGGUAUUUAAAAAAAAGUAGGUUCCUGUUUGUUGAACAGUUGAAUAGACUAAAUGUGUGCCUUUAGUUGUAUAGUAGUAUUUUCUGUAUUGUGUAUUUAAGUAUUCUUAUAAUUGUGUCGGUUUUUUAGUUAUUUAGUUGUGUAGUCUUUUAAUUCUCUAGUUAGUUUAUCAAACCCUGGUUUCCGAAUCCCGCCAAAAUGGUGACGGAAAUAGAUGGUAGGUCCACCGGAAAUGGUUGUUUAUAUGGCGAGCUUCCGGAUGCAAUUUAGAUAUACGUGAUAUAGGUUUCACUGACCAUGGUAGAAGAACUCUGUGUCUAAUCUGUUCUGUUUCAAGACGCCUUGUGUUGUGUGUGGAAUAACUUAUCGUAUCAAGCAAACCAUCUAACGCUGAGGUAGACUGUCAGCUUACGCCACAAACAAAUAGUGCCGUUUACCCAGCAAUGCGAGCACCAACGAAAAUUUCCGGUAUUAUGAAGUGUGAUAAAGGAAACAAGGCUCUAAAAUCCAAAUCUUACAGCAGUGAAUCCCAUGAAAACUAUACUCUCUCAAACUUUAUUUGGCAGGAUUAAAGUAAAUAAGAAACCUCUACAAAAAUCACAGUAGCCGAGAGGUGCUACACUGUAGUAACUGAUUGUUACUUGUUCAAAUCCCUACUACACCUUGAGAGAUUUGAACCAAUGCUACCGAUCGUUACAGAGGAGUAGAAAAUAGUUGCUACCUCAAGCUUCCUUACUCAAUUUGGGAGAUUUGAACCAAUACGUUAGACAAGACAAUCUCAUUGCUACUUCCUCAAGCUCCCUUGACACCACACUUUUGGAGAUUUGAACCAAUACGCUAGACAAGACAAUCUCAUAGCUACUGCCUCAAGCUCCCUUGAUACCACACUUUUGGAGAUUUGAACCAAUACACUAGAUAAGACAACCUUAUAGCUACUUCCACACGCUCUCUUGAAACCACCCUCUGUGCAAUGUUCUGAACCAUUUACGACAAACCAAUAUAUCUUUUAACUAUCAUACAAGAAAACUGUUUAAACUUAAUUUAACUAACAUUAUCAGCUUCAACAGAGAAAAGGAAACAUCUACAAUGAUUAGACAGUGUUUACCAUGGCGUAUUUCGGAACAAUGUCCUAUUGCUUAUUGCUUGUUUUAUACUGUAUCAGUCUUCUGCUAAUUUUGGUUUUUCAGAUUUGGCGCAACCAAUGUAUAGUGCUUUUCAAGAAUCUGAGUGGCAUUCCGGCCGCAUUGACUCGGUUAGACCCGGAAGAAGAUCUGAUCAGUGGCUCAAGUGAAUAACCGUUCCAAGAGAAAGGAUAUCAACAAACCCUAUAGAUCUAGAUCUAUCAAGAGAGUUUUUCUAACUUUUUGUAGCCUUACAAUACUGCCCUACUUAGAAACUAUAAUAUACCGAAACGAAAUAUUUUUUUUCUGGAAAUAGUCCGAAAAAAAACAAACAUCGUUCAAGUUGUAAAGAACAACAGCGGUCAAUUUCCAAGACAUGUCGUUGUUACACAACAUAAUUGCAUCGAGAAUUUUUCAAGAACAGAUAACUUUGUGUGCACUAUUGUCAUGAAGGAAAUUUAGUUGCUAACUACGAGAGCUCCAGAAGAAAAAGGAGAAUAGAAAUAAAAGAAAGUAUAAGAUAUAGAUCUAUCUCAUUACAAUAUAUAUUUACUGCAGUGGAUCUCAAAUUUUGACUUUAGGAGUCCAAAGAACUCAUCGCAUACCUAAAAGCAUCAAUAAAGACAAAGCAUAAAUACACCCUUCUUUUUUAACUUUUAUCACUUCAAUCCGAGAAUCUCUGAAUAACUCAUUCUGACGUUGGAUUAUUUGUUGGUGAGAAUCUCUGAAUAACUCAUUCUGACGUUGGAUUAUUUGUUGAAAAUGGUGUAUAUGGGACCAAUUGGAUACGAACUCCUCCUCAUUGCCUACAUUGUCUGCACAUUUUUGUUGCUGGUGCUUCAAGUCCGUAGAAAAACUGCCAAGCCUUUCAUUUUGUGUUCCGGCGAAAUGUACCCUGAAAUGCGGCAUCCAUACCUCAGGCCGGAAGUUCACCAUCCUAACCCAGUUUUGACAGGAGCAAAUAACUCUACCUCCGGGAACAUUGUCAUUACUAUCGAUGAAUCUGAAAUAUAAUUUGUUUUCUACAUGGCUGUGUUUACCGAUACUAGUUUUAGCUUAGCUUAAAAGUUAAGAGUAUAAUCAAAUGUUGAAUCUAUCAUCAAUUUGGCCGAACUUUAUCAACUCACUCCGUCUGUCUGUCCGUCUGGGCAGAAUCUUGUACACGUUUUUAUAAUUCUCUCACUUCGCAUUCUCGAAUCAAGUUAAAACUUUGCACAAUUAUUCAGAGUCGGCGACAUGAAUUAAUCAAAAAAUUAUCUAAUCACUCAGUCGUAAGUAAUUAAUUUUGUUUUAUUUUGAAAAUGUACAAAGCUAACGGGAGAUAAGUCUUGCAAUAAUCAGAAAUAAUUCAGCGAUUGAAAGGUGCUCUCCCCCUCCCCUCCCCCUUAGCACGAAUGGAGCUCUUCUUCUUCUCAGCAUACAAGAUUGCAGACGUGUAAAAGCUGCAGGACCAGGAGAUUAACUUCGUUAUUGUGUACAGCUAUCAUUGCUUCAAUAUGAUUGGUGCUAUUUCACCCAAUAGUUAAGUAAACGUAAGUUCCCCUUUCAGACAUUGCGAUAUUUGGGGCAGACGAUGUUAAGGUCAUCUGUUUCUAUGGCCAACGGUUAACGAGCAGGGUGUCAUGUGGCCAGCUCAACGACCAACAGCCUUUACUUUCCCCCAACUAAAGUCAGGUACCCAUUAGAGUUGGUUAGACUCAGGGGCGCCUUAAAAAUACUGAAAUUCAAAAUCCCAGCCUUCACCGAGAUUCGAAACCAGGACCUCAGUUCGGAAGUAUUUUUCAUAUUCAACUUGUUCAAAGAUCUGGCCAUGUAGAAAUAUUUCAAACGAUUCAGUAAAUAUCAAAAAGUCUGAUAUAAUUAAAAUCAUUACUUCUAUAACCAUUUUCAAUUAGAUUUUAAUAACCUUUAAACAUCAAAAGUCAGUAAGUCAAAACAGAAGUCACUCUUAACAUAAGUCAUCACUAUCAAAGAUUGAUUUUGGUUAACUUUUGUUGACCCUCGACCUGCUCGAUUUGGAUUUUUUUAACGAUAGACUAAUGUCAAAAGUAGUACAGUUCCCCUUUCAGACCUUAUGGUCUAUAUGGUCAGAUGAUGUUAAGGUCAUCAUCAACGACCAACCGCCUUUACUUUUCCCCAACUAACGUCAGGUACCCAUUAGGGCUGGGUGGACUUGGAGACGCCCGAAGAUCCCAAAAUUAAAAUCCCAGUCUUCACCAGGAUUCGAACCCCGGUCCCCGGUUCGGAAGCCAAGCGCUAAACCGCUCAGCCACCGCGCCUCCAAUGUCAAAAGUAGCUAACUGAAACUUCCAUGCUGCCAACUACAUAAUUUAAAAAAAAAUGUAAGAGUUUGAUCUGCAGUGCUAAAGUGCUAAAAGUGCUAAACGUAUUCAUUAAACUUUUAAAAAACAUAUCUUUACACUUCCUUUAUUUUGUACACCGGUUGCACCAAAGCUUUUUUUUCCCGCUAUUAAUAAAAAUAGCUUACAUAUUUUAAAAAAAAAAAGAUUGCAAAUAUUUAAAAAAUAAAUUAUUUAUUCCACUUCUGUGUACUAUUGGACAAAUGAUAUUCUGACAUUAUUAUUUUGUUUAGUUAAAGCAGUGUUUCCCAAACUGUGUUCCGUGGAACCCCAGUGUUCCGCGAGGCCUGAAUAGGUGUUCCACGAACUACUGUAAAAAUUAACUUGUUGGCCACGACGUGAAUUAAUCUCUCUAAUAAGAAAAUAAGCAAAGUGUUCCGCUAAAUACUCAGAAUGUUCCGAAGUGUUCUGUUAUGGAAAAAGUUUGGGAAACACUGGGUUUGAGAAUAUCUUUUUUACUCUCUUACCCAAUCGGAGGUAGCCAGUAUUUCAAAUUUUAGCAAUGUCAGCUCCAAAAUAUUCUGUAGCCUUUAACCCAAACCGCUUUGACAGCCAUGGCCUACCCAUUGUCUCUGUAAAGUCUUUCAAGCCGCCCAGUAAUAGUUUGUGGAGCAGGAAAAUGUCAUGAUGACAAUAUGUUUGGUUUUAUAAUGUUAUGAUGUAUGUUGGUAUAAUGUUAUGAUGUAUGUUGGUAUAAUGUUAUGAUGUAUGUUGGUAUAAUGUUAUGAUUAAGGUGAUGUUAAGUAUGAUAUAUUUUCACUCUUAAAUUCAAAACAGUUUAGGGUUAGAACUAUUUUGUUUAACAUAUUAAUUAUUCUUUUGUUACUAACAAAGCGAAAAUUUGUUUUUGGCAUUAACAAAGAGACAAUUCGUUGUUUGGGCUAACAAAGCGACAAUUUGUUUUUUGGACCAACAAAGCGACAAUUUGUUUUUUGGGGCUAACAAAGCGAGUAUUUGUUGUUUAAGGCUCACAAAUGACUUUUUUUUUGGGGGGUAGGGGCCUCACAAAACAGCAAUAAUUUAUUUUGGCUCACAAAGCAACAAUUUGUUCUUUAGGGCUCACAAAACUUGUAUCACUGAUAGUUUUAUUGACAUUAUGCUAGCAAGUCAAUUUAUAUCAAACACAUUACAAUUAUAUACCACAUAAAAAAUAUUUCUUUCUAUUUUCCACAUGUAAUUCAUAAGCUGUAAAUACUUGUGUUGGAUAUUAAGUUAUUGAAAACUUUCUAUGACAACCUAGGCUUUCAUUUUGUGUACAUGCUGAAAGAUGCUUUUAUUUUGUGCACAUGUUGAAAGAUGCUUUUAUUUUGUGUACAUAUUGAAUGACGAUUUCAUUUUGUGUACAUAUUGAAAGAUGCUUUUAUUUUGUGUACAUAUUGAAAGAUGCUUUUAUUUUGUGUACAUAUUGAAAGAUGCUUGUAUUUUGUGUACAUACUGAAAGAUGCUUUUAUUUUGGGUACAUAUUGAAUGACGAUUUCAUUUUGUCUACAUGUUGAGUGAUAGUUGUUUUUUUUUUAAAGCUUUGUUUUAGAAAUGUUUUUAAAAUAAAUGUAGAUCUUUUCAAUAAAAGAAUUCUAAAGUC